UAUGACAACAGGAAGAAGAUGCAAGCC
rnacentral:piRNA from 1 species